rnacentral:rRNA from 1 species
UGGGGAAUAUUGGACAAUGGGCGCAAGCCUGAUCCAGCCAUGCCGCGUGAGUGAUGAAGGCCCUAGGGUUGUAAAGCUCUUUCACCGGUGAAGAUAAUGACGGUAACCGGAGAAGAAGCCCCGGCUAACUUCGUGCCAGCAGCCGCGGUAAUACGAAGGGGGCUAGCGUUGUUCGGAUUUACUGGGCGUAAAGCGCACGUAGGCGGGCUAUUAAGUCAGGGGUGAAAUCCCGGGGCUCAACCCCGGAACUGCCUUUGAUACUGGUAGUCUUGAGUUCGAGAUAGGUGGGUGGAAUUCCGAGUGUAGGGGUGAAAUUCGUAGAUAUUCGGAGGAAAACCAGUGGCGAGGGCGGCUCACUGGCUCGAUACUGACGCUGAGGUGCGAAAGCGAGGGGAGCAAACAGG